rnacentral:rRNA from 1 species
ACAGUAUGUGAAAUUGUUAAACAGGGAACCGUUUGGAGCCAGACUGGCUUGAUCGUAAUCACUCUAGGCUUUGGCCUGGAUGCACUUGCGGUCUAUGCCGGCCAACGACAGUUUUGUUUGAGGGAAAAAAUUACAUUGAAUGUGGCCCUUCGGGGUGUUAUAGCUUUGUAAAAAAUACCUUGGACGGGACUGAGGAACGCAGCGAAUGCCUUUAGGCGAGAUUGCUGGGUGCUUGCGCUGAUACAUGCUAGAAUUUCUGCUUUGGGUGGUGCUAGUGUGUAAAGGAGUAACCCGCUUAGUAUAUUUUUUAUUCGCUUAGGUUGUUGGCUUAAUGACUCUAAAUGACCCGUCUUGAAACACGGACCAAG